GAUGAACGCUGGCGGCGUGCCUAAUACAUGCAAGUCGAGCGAACGGACGAGAAGCUUGCUUCUCUGUUGUUAGCGGCGGACGGGUGAGUAACACGUGGAUAACCUACCUAUAAGACUGGGAUAACUUCGGGAAACCGGAGCUAAUACCGGAUGAUAUUUUGAACCGCAUGGUUCAAAAGUGAAAGACGGUCUUGCUGUCACUUAUAGAUGGAUCCGCGCUGCAUUAGCUAGUUGGUAAGGUAACGGCUUACCAAGGCAACGAUGCAUAGCCGACCUGAGAGGGUGAUCGGCCACACUGGAACUGAGACACGGUCCAGACUCCUACGGGAGGCAGCAGUAGGGAAUCUUCCGCAAUGGGCGAAAGCCUGACGGAGCAACGCCGCGUGAGUGAUGAAGGUCUUCGGAUCGUAAAACUCUGUUAUUAGGGAAGAACAUAUGUGUAAGUAACUGUGCACAUCUUGACGGUACCUAAUCAGAAAGCCACGGCUAACUACGUG
rnacentral:rRNA from 1 species